AGUUACCCCAUUUCACGGAUGAGGAAGCAGACGCAUGGGAAGGUUAUGAAGUCUGUCUUCUUGCAGGGACCCCCAGCUCUCACAAGUGUGUGUUCCUUUCACUGCCUUUAUUCUUCAUAUCUCUCUCUUCUUUUCUUCAGGGAAAGAGUAUGCCAAGGGAGACAGCCGAUACAUCCUGGGUGACAACUUCACAGUGUGCAUGGAAACCAUCACAGCUUGCCUGUGGGGACCACUCAGCCUGUGGGUGGUGAUCGCCUUUCUCCGCCAGCAUCCCCUCCGCUUCAUUCUACAGCUUGUGGUCUCUGUGGGUAAGGAAAGGGCACUAGAGGGGCACUGGGCACUAGAGGGGUUGAUGGGGGAUCCACAGACACAGAUGUAUCCCUGUGGGUGGGAUCUCUCAACGGUGCCCUUCCAGGGGUAAGUCAGACUGAAUGACAAACCCCCUGAGGCUCUGGAAAGGUCAUGCCCUUCUCUGAGCCUGCACUCUCAGGUGGGGAGGGUUCAUUUUUCUUCCUCCUCCUCCUUCUCCAUCACAAAGUCUCCUGUGAAGGUUACAUGAGGUGGCCCAGGGUGGCAAGAAGCCCCUGGAACCUCCAGGAUCAGGGCUCUGAGAUCCCUUCAUGUAAGAUUCUGUCAUAUUUUUUUUAAAACAGGGUCUGGCUCUGUCACCCAGGCCAGAGUGCUAUGGUGUGAU
rnacentral:lncRNA from 10 species